rnacentral:piRNA from 1 species
UCCCUGAGUUCUGUGAGCCACUCUGGCA